UGAUGGUACUAGGACAGAAAUAAGCAUCGAAUUACGUGCCAGCAGCAGCGGUAAUAAUUAGGAGGCAACCGUUGUCAUCAAUUUUUGGGUGUAAAGGGGGGUUAGCAGGAGGUUCAAUUCAGGGGUGAAAAAAAUGGGCUUAACCCAUAUCGGACCUUCGAAAAUGUAGUCCUUGAGUGAUGGAGAGGCAAUCGGAAUUCCUAGUGUAGCGGUGAAAUGCGUAGAUAUUAGGAGGAACACCAGUGGUGAAGGCGGAUUGUUGGUCAGUAAUCAACGACGAGGAGGCAAAAAAGGGGGAGCAAACAACAUUAGAUACCCCCGUAGUACACCCCGCAAUCGACGAAUAUCAGGUGUGGGGGGACUGACCCCCUAAGCGCCGGAGU
rnacentral:rRNA from 1 species